AUACCAGCUGCAGCAGUAUAUACACUUUGUCCUUUAGAGAAGACCAUUGACCGAUAUAUGUGAUUGAAAUCCGCGUUUCUCCGAGUAACUGCCUCCAGGAAUAAUAAUAUGUGAGCAAUAAGAUCAACAAUGAUGACUCAUUUUCAUCGGAGAACUACAGAACCAAGUGAAAGAUAGCUGCAAAGACAAACCUUGUUGCCAAUGGCGCGGCCAAAGCCACAUGGAACUGCUGCGACAUCAAGA